rnacentral:rRNA from 1 species
GCAUGUGGUUUAAUUCGAUGAUACGCGAGGAGCCUUACCUGGGCUCAAAUGUAUGUUGACGUAUUCUGAAAGGGAUACUUCUUCGGACAAUAUACAAGGUGCUGCAUGGUUGUCGUCAGCUCGUGCCGUGAGGUGUCGGGUUAAGUCCCAUAACGAGCGCAACCCCUAUCAUUAGUUGCCAUCAGGUCAAGCUGGGGACUCUAAUGAAACUGCCUACGCAAGUAGUGAGGAAGGUGGGGAUGACGUCAAAUCAGCACGGCCCUUACGUCCAGGGCUACACACGUGCUACAAUGGCCGGUACAAAGGGCAGCUACCUGGUGACAGGAUGCUAAUCUCAAAAGCCGGUCUCAGUUCGGAUCGGAGUCUGCAACCCGACUCCGUGAAGUCGGAAUCGCUAGUAAUCGUGAAUCAGAAUGUCACGGUGAAUACGUUCCCGGGCCUU